rnacentral:lncRNA from 1 species
UGCCCAGGGAAGCCAAGGCAGUGUUGUCUUGUUCUGUUGGUGGUGGUUGGGGGUAGUUUCUUAUAACCUUUAAUCUUCGGAACAACCCUGACCUGGCAUUGAGGCGGGGAGCAGGGAAAUGGAGAAGGACAAGCGACUCUUACCUGAUGCUGUUGUAGUCCUUUCUCUACGGUUGCUACUUCUCCAGACUACUCUCAUUCUCAGCCCACGUAGGAAAUCAGAAGAUAAUUUAAAAUUAAAUGAUGAUGGCUCUGAGCUUAAAGCACUUUGA